rnacentral:rRNA from 1 species
UACGGAGGGUGCAAGCGUUAUCCGGAUUCACUGGGUUUAAAGGGUGCGUAGGUGGGUUGGUAAGUCCGUGGUGAAAUCUCCGAGCUUAACUCGGAAACUGCCGUGGAUACUAUCAAUCUUGAAUACUGUGGAGGUAAGCGGAAUAUGUCAUGUAGCGGUGAAAUGCUUAGAUAUGACAUGGAACACCGAUAGCGGAGGCAGCUUGCUACACAGUCAUUGACACUGAGGCACGAAAGCGUGGGGAUCAAACAGG